GGGAAGGUGGCUCAGUGGUAGAGCACUUGCCUUGCAUGCAUGAGGCGCUGGGUUCGAUUCCUCAGCACCCCA
rnacentral:tRNA from 1 species